AAAGCACUGAUGUGUUCGUGCCCUCUUAAUGUGUUGACCGAACAAAUCAUACUAUCUAGGGAACCAUGAAUUCUGAUGGCUGCUAAGCCUUAUCACGAGGAAAGCAAAAGUCGGAUAGUGGUUCCCACCUGCUAAUUACUUGCGGGUUCAAUACAGAUAGAUUUUGCACGGCACAAUCGGUAUUCUA
rnacentral:other from 1 species